rnacentral:rRNA from 1 species
GAUGAACGCUGGCGGCGUGCCUAAUACAUGCAAGUCGAGCGAACGGACGAGAAGCUUGCUUCUCUGAUGUUAGCGGCGGACGGGUGAGUAACACGUGGAUAACCUACCUAUAAGACUGGGAUAACUUCGGGAAACCGGAGCUAAUACCGGAUAAUAUUUUGAACCGCAUGGUUCAAAAGUGAAAGACGGUCUUGCUGUCACUUAUAGAUGGAUCCGCGCUGCAUUAGCUAGUUGGUAAGGUAACGGCUUACCAAGGCAACGAUGCAUAGCCGACCUGAGAGGGUGAUCGGCCACACUGGAACUGAGACACGGUCCAGACUCCUACGGGAAGCAGCAGUAGGGAAUCUUCCGCAGUGGGCCAAAGCCUGACGGAACAACGCCACGUGAGUGAUGAAGGUCUUCGGAUCGUAAAACUCUAUUAUUAGUGAAGAACAUAUGUGUAAGUAACAAUGCACAACUUGACGGUACCUAAUCAGAAAGCCACGGCUAACUACGUG